rnacentral:rRNA from 1 species
UCGUAACAAGGUUUCGGUAGGUGAACCUGCGGAAGGAUCAUUGUCG